rnacentral:rRNA from 1 species
AUUGAACGCUGGCGGCAUGCCUUACACAUGCAAGUCGAACGGUAACAGGUCUUCGGCUGCUGACGCGUGGCGGACGGGGGAGUAAUACAGCGGAACGUGCCCAGACGUGGGGGAUAACGAGGCGAAAGCUUAGCUAAUACCGCAUACGAUCUAAGGAUGAAAUCAGGGGACCGCAAGGCCUUGCGCGUUUAGAGCGGCCGAUGGCCGCUAGGGUAGGUGGUGGGAUAAAAGCUUACCAAGCCGACGAUCUGUAGCUGGCCUGAGAGGACGACCUGCCACACUGGGACUGGGACACGGCCCAGACUCCUACGGGAGGCAGCAGUGGGGAAUUUUGGACAAUGGGCGAAGUCCUGAUCCAGAAAUGCCGCGUGCAGGAUGAAGGCCUUCGGGUUGUAAACUGCUUUUGUACGGAACGAAAAGGCUCUGGCUAAUACCUGGGGCACAUGACGGUACCGUAAGAAUAAGCACCGGCUAACUACGUG